GAUGAAGAACGCAGCGAAAUGCGAUAAGUAAUGUGAAUUGCAGAAUUCAGUGAAUCAUCGAAUCUUUGAACGCACAUUGCGCCCCCUGGUAUUCCGGGGGGCAUGCCUGUCCGAGCGUCAUUACAACCCUCAAGCUCAGCUUGGUGUUGGGCCCCGCCGCCCCGGCGGGCCCUAAAGUCAGUGGCGGUGCCGUCCGGCUCCGAGCGUAGUAAUUCUUCUCGCUCUGGAGGUCCGGUCGUGUGCUCGCCAGCAACCCCCAAUUUUUUUCAGGUUGACCUCGGAUCAGGAAGGGAUACCCGCUGAACUUAAGCAUAUCAAUAAGCGGAGGA
rnacentral:misc_RNA from 1 species